AGGUUGAGGUGCGGCGCGGGCCCUCCUCCCAUUGGAUCCGGCGCUCCCGGCAGGCCUACAGAAUUGGGCAUGAAACAGCAAAGGAUGGCCUCUGCUUCCACCACCAUCAGAAAUGUUAUAUUUUCACCAGUGCACCAUAAUGUAGCAGUCUCUCCAUAAUGUAGCAGGUGAGGUAUCACCUGGAGUUCUUCGUCUCAUGACCAAGAAAAUUAAGGAGCGUGGAUGCAAAGGAUGAAGUUGCAGCGAAAGUUUAAUAAGCAAAAGAAGAAAGCUCUCCACAGUGGAGAGGGGACCUGGAGGAGGGUUGCUGCUUUUACAGGUGACUGCAAAGGCUUUUAUAAGAACCGGUGAGGGCUGGGCAUCUCAUUUGCAUAAGGCAUGAAUUUCUGGUAGCUCCACCUCAUCCUUCUAGUGUGCAUGUGGGCCCUUAGCUUAAGUUUUAUUCCAUAUUGCUUUUUUCCCCUUACUGCGCAUGUGUCAGGGGAUGGAAUUUUCCACUGCAGAAGUAUCUGGGCAAGUCAUCUGGGUAGGCUUUCAUAUCUGUGUGGCUGUGGGAAUGUCUUAGUCAAGGCCACCUGUGCAGAUCCCCUUAUCUGUGCCUGCAGCUUGAUUUUUCAGGCUGUUCUUUUGUUUGAAAGAAUUUAACCAAGGACCCACCCUAACUGAUGCCUGAAAGGUUUCUUCCUUUCUCCUCUCUCAGUAUCUUCCCUUGUGGACUACACCAGUGUCGAAAUGUUCUUGCUAAAAAUGAUGCAGGGAGAAAGACAAAGUUACAAAGUUGGCAUCCACAAUUUUUCCAUCUUGCCCCACUUC
rnacentral:lncRNA from 1 species